rnacentral:rRNA from 1 species
GCUGCAUGGCUGUCGUCAGCUCGUGUCGUGAGAUGUUGGGUUAAGUCCGCAACGAGCGCAACCCUUGUCUUUAGUUGCCAUCAUUAAGUUGGGCACUCUAAAGAGACUGCCGGUGUCAAACCGGAGGAAGGUGGGGAUGACGUCGAGUCCUCAUGGCCUUUAUGACCAGGGCUACACACGUACUACAAUGGCCGGUACAAAGGGUCGCAAACCCGCGAGGGGGAGCUAAUCCAUCAAAGCCGGUCGUAGUCCGGAUCGCAGUCUGCAACUCGACUGCGUGAAGUCGGAAUCGCUAGUAAUCGUGGAUCAGCAUGUCACGGUGAAUACGUUCCCGGGUCUU